rnacentral:rRNA from 1 species
GAUGAACGCUGGCGGCGUGCCUAAUACAUGCAAGUCGAGCGAACGGACGAGAAGCUUGCUUCUCUGAUGUUAGCGGCGGACGGGUGAGUAACACGUGGAUAACCUACCUAUAAGACUGGGAUAACUUCGGGAAACCGGAGCUAAUACCGGAUAAUAUUUUGAACCGCAUGGUUCAAAAGUGAAAGACGGUCUUGCUGUCACUUAUAGAUGGAUCCGCGCUGCAUUAGCUAGUUGGUAAGGUAACGGCUUACCAAGGCAACGAUGCAUAGCCGACCUGAGAGGGUGAUCGACAACACUGGAACUGAGACACGGUCCAGACUCCUACGGGAGGCAGCAGUAGGGAAUCUUCCGCAAUGGGCGAAAGCCUGACGGAGCAACGCCGCGUGAGUGAUGAAGGUCUUCGGAUCGUAAAACUCUGUUAUUAGAGAGAACAUAUGUGUAAGUAACUGUGCACAUCUUGACGGUACCUAAUCAGAAAGCCACGGCUAACUACGUG